GAUGAACGCUGGCGGCGUGCCUAAUACAUGCAAGUCGAGCGAACGGACGAGAAGCUUGCUUCUCUGAUGUUAGCGGCGGACGGGUGAGUAACACGUGGAUAACCUACCUAUAAGACUGGGAUAACUUCGGGAAACCGGAGCUAAUACCGGAUAAUAUUUUGAACCGCAUGGUUCAAAAGUGAAAGACGGUCUUGCUGUCACUUAUAGAUGGAUCCGCGCUGCAUUAGCUAGUUGGUAAGGUAACGGCUUACCAAGGCAACGAUGCAUAGCCGACCUGAGAGGGUGAUCGGCCACACUGGAACUGAAACACGGUCCAGACUCCUACGGGAGGCAGCAGUAGGGAAUCGUCCGCAAUGGGCGAAAGCCUGACGGAGCAACGCCGCGUGAAUGAUGAAGGUCUUCGGAUCGUAAAACUCUGUUAUUAGGGAAGAACAUAUGUGUAAGUAACUGUGCACAUCUUGACGGUACCUAAUCAGAAAGCCACGGCUAACUACGUG
rnacentral:rRNA from 1 species